rnacentral:rRNA from 1 species
AACGCGAAGAACCUUACCUGGGCUCGAACGGCUAGUGACAGAGGUGGAAACAUCUUUUUCCCGCAAGGGACACUAGUCGAGGUGCUGCAUGGCUGUCGUCAGCUCGUGUCGUGAGAUGUUGGGUUAAGUCCCGCAACGAGCGCAACCCUUAUCCCUAGUUGCCAUCGGGUCAAGCCGGGCACUCUAGUGAAACCGCCCCGGAUAACGGGGAGGAAGGUGGGGAUGACGUCAAGUCCUCAUGGCCUUUAUGUCCAGGGCUACACACGUGCUACAAUGGUCGGUACAAACCGUCGCAAACCCGCGAGGGGGAGCUAAUCGGAAAAAGCCGGCCUCAGUUCGGAUUGGAGUCUGCAACCCGACUCCAUGAAGCUGGAAUCGCUAGUAAUCGCGGAUCAGAACGCCGCGGUGAAUACGUUCCCGGGCCUUGUACACACCGCUCGCGA